CUCAUUUUCAAGACAUGUGGUCUCGAUCCAACUAAAUACAAAGGACAUAGUUUCCGCAUUGGCGCGGCAACAUUUGCUGCGGAAUGCGGUUUUUCUGAUGCCCAAAUUCGAUCAAUGGGUCGGUGGAAAUCCGACGCCUUUCGUAAGUAUAUUCGAGGUCCAGGCCUGUGCUCAACCGCUUUGCCUAGAUAGGCCGAGUUUGGUUGUUUGUCUUUUUUCACCGGAUUGAUCAUGGCUGUCAAUAAGCAUUUAAUAUUUUGGCAAACUCCGCUUCCGUGCACAUCUGACUGGUCAAGUUGACGCAGGGGCAAGACUUGACUACAAUGAUUAUUAUGAUGCACGUUACUAUACUGCGACAUACUGCUUUAGAGUGUUCUGUGAUGCUGACGCAGGGGCAAGGCUAUCAGAACACUUUUGUCUUGUCGGUGGUGGUUAUACCUGGCAGUUCAACGCAGGGGCACGAAUUGUUUGUGUAUAGCUAACACCCCCUUUUAUAUUAUGAGCAGUUUAAUUAAUAUUUGCCAAUACUAUCACUCAAUUUUGUAGAAUUGCUGCUUGCUUGUUUCAUCGGUCUGUAAUCACUUUAUCUGUCGAUGCCUUGUCACGCUGGGGUGGGGUAUGUCUUCUUUACCCAAGUAGACUUGUGGCGUUUUUACCCCCACCUUUUCUGUGCUAACUGUUAAUGAAUUACUUUGGUUAAUAAUUUGUUAUGUUAAACUUAUGUCAUUGAUUACAAAAUUAAUAAACCGGCAUGUGCGUUAUGCAAUACGCACAUUGCCAUAAUUAUUCCAAGUGGUGUCUGACUCGUUUAUUGCGGGUAAAGAACAUGCACAGAAAACAGAGCUCAUCGUGACAAGAUAUCCCCCAGAUAUAGUGUUAAAUAAAGGAAGCGAUAAAGGAAUUAUUGGCAUACCAAUGAAGAUUUUAUUGCUUCCUGAGCUUAGGAUAUAUAAAUAGACAAACCUGACAUGGGACACAUGGGUAUUUUCCCCGUAAUUUUCUGAUCACAUGAAUGUAAUGCGUGCAGGAAAACGGAAGGGAGAGGUGAUACAUAUCUAUAGCAGAAUGCGCAUCUGGUUCAUUCUGCUCUUCGCUUUGGUAGCGCAAAGUCGUCUGUAUUUUAAAGUCAAGUUUUUCCCC